GAUGAACGCUGGCGGCGUGCUUAACACAUGCAAGUCGAACGAUGAAGCCCAGCUUGCUGGGUGGAUUAGUGGCGAACGGGUGAGUAACACGUGAGUAACCUGCCCUUAACUCUGGGAUAAGCCUGGAAAACUGGGUCUAAUACCGGAUAGGAGCGUCCACCGCAUGGUGGGUGUUGGAAAGAUUUAUCGGUUUUGGAUGGACUCGCGGCCUAUCAGCUUGUUGGUGGGGUAAUGGCUCACCAAGGCGACGACGGGUAGCCGGCCUGAGAGGGUGACCGGCCACACUGGGACUGAGACACGGCCCAGACUCCUACGGGAGGCAGCAGUGGGGAAUAUUGCACAAUGGGCGCAAGCCUGAUGCAGCGACGCCGCGUGAGGGAUGACGGCCUUCGGGUUGUAAACCUCUUUCAGUAGGGAAGAAGCGAAAGUGACGGUACCUGCAGAAGAAGCACCGGCUAACUACGUG
rnacentral:rRNA from 1 species